GACGAACCGUGCGAACGUUGUUCGGAGUCACUGGGCUUAAAGGGCGCGUAGGCGGGCUCGCAAGUCAGGGGUGAAAUCCCACGGCUCAACCGUGGAAGUGCCUUUGAUACUGCGGGCCUCGAGGGAGGUAGGGGCGUGCGGAACUUCCGGUGGAGCGGUGAAAUGCGUAGAUAUCGGAAGGAACACCGGUGGCGAAAGCGGCGCGCUGGACCUCUACUGACGCUCAGGGGCGAAAGCGUGGGGAGCAAACAGG
rnacentral:rRNA from 1 species